CAUUUGGAAACCAAAUAAACAACGUUAAUAACAAUUUUACAAUAGAAAAAUUAAAAAUUGAUAAAUGGCAGUUGUAAUUUAUGUAUGCGUAAAGAUAGCUUCACAUCCAGGGUCCUCCCAUAAACAUGCUUGUAACAAGAAUUAGUUUGCCUCAACUGCUAGCAACUAUACAAUAGUAAAAAUCACUCUUAUGAACUCAACAAUACUAGGCACCAAUAAGAGUAUGAUACAGCCAUUCUAAAUGGAAGAGAAUACAACUGUUUUACAACUAUGUUGCAUCAGGAGAUAUGUUAGGAGGAUUAAUCCAGAUACCUUCCAACCCAAUUAGGAAAACUCAAGGUCAGAAACCAGGAGCUGCAACCAAACCUUACAAUCUUGAAGGAAGAAGGAGACUUGGGGCAUUUUUCCAGAUAGGUGACUUACAAGAUCUCCUGCCAAGAAAAUAUCUACUGCUUCGAACCUCCAUUGAAAUUUCUUUUCCGUUUUUCUUGUUUUGACUUGGAACUUUCCAGCAUCAUCUAUUUGAUCUUUUUUAAAGCUAAAAUAGCAAUCUAUGGGUUGUCAACAUCUUACCCCCCCCCCCCCCCCCGGGGGGCCCCCAAAAAAAAAACCAAUGAGUUGUCAAUAAAUAGCGCCUACUCAACUUAUGUUCUCCAAUGGAUGACAAUGUGCAAAUCGACCUAGCAGCCACAUUUUUCCCCCCUUUAAACCACCAUUAGGCAACUUUUCUAACCUUUCUUUAUUGCCCACGUCUACAGAACUAUCAUAUAAAGACUACAUUAUUAUUGGGAUAGAGAAAAAAAUACAGACUAUAUUAUUAUUAUAUCUCAUUUUAUUAAUUAACUAGUGCAAGACUUAUUUAGUGUCAAAUCAAGAACUAAUUAGAAAAGACAACUCAUGAUAAUACAGACCUUAAAAAGCAAUAGCUAGGACCACCCCAUGUACUCCUAUUUUAGCCUUCAAUAUCCUGGUAAAAACACAAUUAAGUCUUGCAAAAGAACAUUCACAAGUAAAUUCAACAUUAAUUAAGAUUAAGUAUCUACUGCACCUUCAAUCAAUGACUGGGUGAAUAGCAUGGUCAACCAUCCAGUUCCUGUAGCCCUCCUUGUACCUAUGUUAGUUACAUUUUACAUAUUAAGACACGAAAAUGAAGGAUCACAGCCUGGUAAAGAAAGCCAUUAAUUAAUAGUUUUUGUUUAAAAAGUUCUCGUUUAGAUCUUUCCUAUUCAAUGAAUCAAUGUAAUCCAAGGAGAACUCUUCCAUUUCAAGCAGUGUUAGAAGAUAAUUGGAAAGCCUAAAGAUAAUAUACAAGGACCAAGAUAUCAAUUAGGUCAAAUAGUGAAUGUCAAAUAUAAAAAAUAAAUAAAAGAAGUUGUACAUGAUCAUUUACUAUCAAGUUCUGUAAAACUGAAAAUACCAUUAUCCCUGUAGAGAUUCUCAAACAACUCUUUAGCAAAUUAUAAAAUAAUUAAAAAAAGAACGAAAGUUUAAAAAAAAAAAAUGUACAACAGCCAUAUCAGGAGAUGUUUUUCUUCUCAAUCUCAAUAUUUUCUAGCCGUAAAACAAUUGAAAAGCUUAACACCAAGUGAAUUAUUAAGAAUUCAUCAUUUAAAUUCCCAAAUCGCGAAAUGUUGGUGCAACUAGGAAAGUGCAAAUGCAAUCACUUUACUAACACAAGAAACAUCAAUAGUGAGAAGCCAACUUUGUAUCAAAUUUGAAACAGAUAGAUAGAGGUCAAAAAAAUUAUAAAGACACUCAAUUAAAAGCCUUUCAAACAGCUUUUGCAUGCAACAAGAACAAAUCAAAGGCGAUGUGAAUGUAUUGAAAGACUAAUUUACAAUCAUCUACAGGACAUAAAUAUCUUGGAUAACUACUCUCUAUACCCUACUGUCCCACUGAAAAUCAUCAAAUCCCUCCAAACAAAAAUGACAAAAUGGAUAAGAAUUGUGUGGUCAAACUUCAAUAACUUAGCAGCCAGAGCAAAAACUUAUGUAGACACGCAAGCCACUCAAAAUAGUCAUAUUGUUUGCUUUCCAAACACAAGCCACUUUGUAAUGAAUAUUCAUAAAUUGCUACUACCAUGUUUGUUAAAACACGUGAAAACUACCAUCACUAACUAAAUGUAACUAAUGAUCAUCAUCACGUUCAUGGAAUCACAUGUCUGACAGUAUUAAUUAGUGCAAAUGGCAUGCUUCUUAAAACUCCUUAUUUAUCACAUGGGCGCCAUUCCAAUCAACCAAUGAUUCUGAUCUAGUCAGCAUAUUCAACCUACGAGCCAGUAAUACCUCCAUUGCUUCUUUAGAUUUCUCAACAAAAUUCCACAUUCUAACCAUACUUCUGAACUUGUUGCUCCCAUAGACUAAUACAAUAUAAAGAUUUCUUCCCACACCACCUCAGCCCCCACUCCUAAAAAACCAAUUUAAAUUCUCAUUGACUGUACAACCUAUAGUCCAUACCAAAUUGAAAAACUUACAAAUAUAGAACCUCAAAGAAUCUUCUUGCGUUCCAUUUUUUACAGCAAGAAAAUUGACUUUUACCACAUGCAAGUCAACAAAUAAAACAAUCAUGUCUUUGUGAGAUGCACAUUUUCAGACGAAUCUGAAGAACAAUGAAACCAUAAAAACCUAAUAUGAGAACACUGAGGACUCCAGAUAUCAUCUAUAGAAUCUUUGGUCCACCCUUGCAUAAUGAAAAAAAAUUGAAGGCUUCGUCACCAACUCCCCAGGUUGUUUUGUUCUCCUAUCUCCUAAAUCUAAAGGAAAGGCAACCCGUUCAUUUUCCAAUCUUAAGGGGCACAGAACGACUCUGGUAUAAAAUAGUCAGUUUCUAUACAAAAAUAACUCCUUUGCACUUGGCAUUCCACAUCUCGAAAUAAAAAGCAUGCAAGGAGGAGAAUAUAAUAGCAUUAAACAAGUUUUAUUAACCAAACUUCAAAGAUGCCAGACAAGGCAAAAAAGGAAUCUGUACAAGCCAGAUCCCAAGAAUAAUAAUUCCAAUAUACAAUUCACGAAAACAAUAACUAAAACCAUGUUCAUCAGGCCUCAGCAGAAGCAACAUGUAAUAGCCAUACUCUAUUAUUUGAAACACAUUUCCAAGUUUGGAAAAGAUUCUAAACUAUUCUCGAUCUGUCAAUUAUUAACAUGUAAAACAUAAUAAUAUACGCUUAAACUACUACAGUAGUAAAACCAGUAAAACAACAAUACCUGCUAAAAAGAUUUGCUACCUCUUCACAUUCGCGAGCAUUGUAGAACCAAAUCCCAUUUACUUCUUGGGAUGCAUUUCGAUAUAACAAAUACGGAACCUGAACUUCAAACUCAAAAUCUCCCAAAAGAUUUUUCACUAAAUUAUCUGCACAUAUCCAAGAUAUUGAAGCUUCUCAGUGCAAAAACAUAUGCAAAAAGACAUGAAGGUUAGGAGACAUAACUAAAACUUAGCAACAACUGAUAAGCACAACAAGAAAUGAAAUAUAACACGAGUUGUAAACAAGAUAGACGCACGGUAUCUAAAUAAUUGUACCAACCCCCUCUCCUGAUUGUCAUAAAACGGCCAAUAUUUAACGCUAGACAACAACAUGGCAAAUACUCUAGCCUCUAUAUUAUUGGCAUAUAAAUAUUUUCGGUUGGGUACAUUAUAUUCUUCGUUCUAAAACCUCAAUCAUUAGCUAGUACUGUGAUAAAAUGAUUCAUCACUGAAAUUAAAACUAGUUCACGUACAAAUAAUCAAAACUGAAAUAGAAACAAGGACAAACCAACCCGUAUUACGUCGAUUCAUUACAACAAACUGAAAUCGAGGCUGUGUGUUCCUGAAAAUUGAAAAAAUAAUAAUUUCACCAACUUCAUAUGUAAUACAAUCUCCAAAACAACGAAUAUCAAAUGAAAAAAUGGAAAGCAUAAGAGAGAAAAGAAUCUAAUUUUAUUGACCUUUUGACGACGAAGAGAGAUCCUUCAACAUCCUUAUGACUCCAUUGGCUGAGGUCGAUGUUGAACUCGUAGAAGGUGACAUGAGCGGCCGUGAUGAGGAUCUCCUCAAUGAAUGGAUCGAUUCGCUGAAGAACUGUCAGGUUUAGGAGUUUUGUGCUCUGCUGGUCCAGAUUAGCCAUUAAUUUUCCGUUCUGCGACAUUUUUCAUAGUCCUUUUGGGCUCUGCCCCGAGCACAAGCGCCAUGGUUUUUCUGUGAGCUCUCUCUUUUGUAAAUAAAGUGUUUGAUGAGAUAGCCGAGAGAGAGUGAAAGAGUUGAGACUCGAGAUUGAUCUUGCUUUAACUUCUUUCAAACAUUUGGGAAAUAGCAUUUAGACCCCAAAAUUAGAUUUAUUAUAAUCAUUUUUUACCCGUACACUAUUAAUCCCUUUUAUUUUUUAAAUUGUCAAUAUUAAUGUAUUAGAAUAAUGUUAGAAAUCCCAAUUAUUAUCUCAAUGUUUCAAUCAUAACUAAUGUGAUAACUCAUCGGUGACUGUAACAUUAACCUAAUUAUUAAUGUUUAUCAUGAAAUGAUGAGAUUAUUAUUCAAGAAAAACUUAGUAAACAUCAAUGACUAAUAUAAUAUGACAAUUACAGCUGAAUAUUAGUACAAUAAUUAGGAUCCCUAAAGUUAGUGAAUGUAUUAUAAUAUAUGUGUGUUACACUAUUUUAUGUCUCUCAAAUUCAAUUAAGUAAUUUCAGAGACCUAACCUUUUAUUACAUUAAAUUAAGAAUGUAUACAUGAACAAAAGAUGUGCAGUUUUUGUUUUAUUUUUCACUAUUAUUUGCCAUUCAUCUACGUACGUCACUUGAUUUUUUGCGAUUAAUAUGCUUAAAUGGAUCUCUUUGAUAUAAAUAAAAUAAACGAAAAGUCUAAGAGAAAAAAAAAAUGAGGACCGAAAUUAUUACACCUACAACAAAUUUGCCCAGAGAGCAAUAAAUCAAACUUGCUUAGGAAGUUCAACAAUGAUUAGUUAAUAACUAAAAGAGCCUUCACCUAACAUGUUAAAGCUUCCGUCAAGCACAAACCCAUUGAAAGCUGUUUAGGUCCGUUUUCGAUCAUCGGAAAUUUGACAAAAUCAUAAAAACCCUCAUCUUAGAAAUUCCAAGCAUCAGGCAAUAGUCCGACUUUAUUGAUAUUGAGAGUAACACAAUAAAAGUUUCGUACAGAUUUUGCAAACGAAAAGCACAUAAUACACUUAACUAGGUGGAAAAAUUAAAGUGUAUGUAUUACAAACUGCUAACAAUAUACAAUAGUAAAAAUCACUCUUAUGAACUCACAAAUACUAGGCACCAAUAAGAGUAUGAUACAGCCAUUCUAAAUGAAAGAGAAUACAACUGUUUUACAACUAUGUCACAUCAAGAGAUAUGUUAGCAGGAUUAAUCCAGAUACCUAGGGAUGGCAACUGGAUCGCUCUAUAAUGGAUAUCCACAAUAUCCAUCCAAUUGGAUCGGAUAAUAUCCAUCCAAAAAUUUUUAGAUUUUGAAAUGGAUAUUUUAAAAUUAUAUCCAAAUGGAUAUGGAUGGAUAUAGAUAAUUAUUUUUACCCAAUGGAUAUCUAUUUAACCCAACACAAGUUUAAAAAAUUUUAAUUUUAUAAAAUAAAAAAUAAAAAAUAUAAUAAACAAACAAUUGUAAAAAUAUUAUAUUAACUAGUGAAAAUUUUAAAUUCAUCUUAUAUUAAAAACUAAAGUUUUCAAAAUUAUCCUUUAAUUUUUUAACUUAUUUAAUAUUAUUAAAAAUUAUUAUUUUAUUUUAUUAAUUUAAUAUUAUAAAUGGACAUCCACCGGAAAGUCACCGGACCUCCUCCGGAAUUCACCGGAAAGUUGCCGGACCACCGUCGACUUCGCCGGAAUUCGCUGGAAAGUUGCCGGACCACCGCCACCAACCACCAGACCGCCAUUUUAUAUAUAUAUAUAUAUAUAUAUAUAUAUAUAUAUAUAUAUAUAUAUAUAUAUAUUAUUACUAAUAUAAAUAGUUUAAUAACCAAAUUUAAUAUUGGAAUUUUAAUUAUUUUAUAUUAUUAUUUUUAUAUAAUAAAAAUAAAAUAUCCAUAGAUAUUCAUGGGUCUCCAUAGUUAUAUGGAUAAAAUCUAUAUCCAUGUCCAAUAUUAAAUACUGGAUAUGGAUAUAGAUAUAUCCAUUAUCGAUAAUUAUGGAUUUGUGUUUGGAUGGAUAAUAUCCAUCCAUAAUUGAAUAUUUGCCAUCCCUACAUAUACCUUUGAACCCAAUUAACCAACUCGAGUCAGAAACCAGGGGCCCCCAACUGAACCUUACAAUCUUGAAGGAAGAAGGAGACUUGUGGUCCAGAUAGGAGACUUACUAGAUCUCCUGCAAAAGAGAAUAUCUAUUGCUUUGAACCUCCAUUGAAAUUUCUUUUUCUCUUUUUCUUGUUUUAACUUGGAACUUUCCAGCAUCAUCUAUUUGAUCUUUUUUGAAGGUAAAAUAGCAAUCUAUAGGUUGCCAACAUGUUAUUCUGCCAAACCCCACCCCCCGGGGGACAACAAAUAGUGCCUACUCAACUUAUGUUUUCCAAUGGACGACAAUAUGCAAAUCGACCCAGUAGCCACAUUUUUCCUCCCUUUCAACCACCGUUAGGCAACUUUUCUAACCUUCCUUCAUUGCCCACACGUACAGAACUAUAAUAAAAAGACUACAUUAUUAUUGGGGUAGAGAAAAUAUGCAGACUAUAUUAUUAUUACAUCACAUUUUACUAAUUAACUAGUGCACGACUUAUUUAGUGUCAAAUCAAGAACUAAUUAGAAAAGACAACUCUUGAUAAUACAGACCUUAACAAGCAAUAGCUAACAACAUCCCAUAUACUCUUAUUUUAGCCUUCACUAUCCUGGUAAAAACACAAAUAAGUCUUGCAAACGAACAUUUAUAAGUAAAUUCAACAUUAAUUAAGAUUAGGUAUCUACUGCACCUUCAAUCAAUGACUGGGUGAAUAGCAUGGUCAACCAUCUAGUUCCUGUAGCCUUCCAUGUACCUAUGUUAGUUACAUUUUAUAUAUUAAGCCAUGAAAAUGAAGAACUCUUCCAUUUCAAACAGUGUUAGAAGAUAUUUGCAAAGCCUAAAGAUAACAUACGAGGACCAAGAUAUACACAGAUAGUUUCUUUACGGGACUAAAGAGCUUUUUUAGAUGUUAAAACUGUUUCAAACUCUUUUUCUUGUUUGGUUUAACUAAGGAAGAGCUUGUGGAAGAUUAAAAAUGAUGUUUCCUGUUCUCUGUAGGAAGCUUUUAGGAGAUUUUUUGGGUUUUUUUGAAAGGUUGAAUUGUCAAAAAUACCUUGAUGUUAUUGUUUGCUAAAAGAUGUUAUGGACAACUAAACAACCAACAACAUUUUGUUAAAAGCUCUACUAGUGUAGGAUCUACUUAAAGAAGCUAUACCAAACAGAUUCUUAGACUAAAUAACUCGAUCUUAAGUUUGUAAAAUUGGGCUCAGAAUCUCCACUAACAACCCCGCUUCGGUGAGAAAGCCCAAGCCUGUUACUUUGUAUAACCUUAUUCUGUAUGUUUGAUUGCAGGAACUGGCCGAUCAUACCGACGAGGUGAGUGUGCAACAUGAGGUGCUUGACGGGAUGUUUACUUUCUAUGAUACAACUAAAGCUAGCCUCAACAUAUAUCAGGUGCCUGCUUGUUUUUACCUUCUAGAUACUAAUAUUGUUUAGACGUGUAAUCUCUCUCUCCAUUGAACGCUAGACGGCUCGUCUCAAGCCUUCUACGUACAUCAGAGUCCUUCUUUAGCUUUUUAUGUAUAAAGUUUUGAUCUUUUUCCUUCAUUUGCUUGAAGCUCAUUACUGCAGAUUUUUUUUACAGGUUGCUAGUGUAACAUUCGACUUGCUGUUGCUUCUAGUGUUGGGAUCGUAUUUAAUUGUGCUUUUCAGCUUUCUUGUCACAACAACUUGGGUAUUACUCUUUCUCCAUAUCAAGCUUGAAGUUCUAAAUUUCAGUUUUAUCUUUUAUUUGAUGUUUUAUAAUUUCAUUGCAAACAGAUUAGAAUAGAAACUUCAAAAGUUCCAACUGACUAGUCCCGUGUAACUUUUUCAGGGAAUAUUUUCUCUCAUAACAACUACGAAUGUGUUAUGGUUUAGCUCAGUGACACAAAGGAUAGAAAAUCUAAGAUGCGAAAAAUUUUUGUUGAGAUUCAUUUUUCAUCCUGAUGUUACAGCUGGCCUUUUUUUUUUUUUUUGGCAGAGAAUAAUGCUUGUGUGAUUUCUGAACUUGGUGAUUGUUGAAAUGAGCUGAAAAUGAGCUGGAAAUGUGUUUGGUUAAUGAGAAAGAGAGCAAGAAAAUGAAAGAAAUCUAUUUCACUUUUUAUUUAUCAGCAUGAUUACAUUCACAAUAAAUCUAAGCUGCUAUUUAUACUUAAAUGAAUACACACGAGAAUCUUCUUGCUAGAUACUUCUAGAAACUCUACACGCACACUCACAUUGAGCUAGUGGUUACUAAAACCGUUACAACGAUAUUGCCAGCUCAGCAUAACCAACUUAUAACUAACACACUCAGCUGCAGGGGAAACCAUCAAGCUUACUGUGCAUCCUCUGUACUCAAGCUUCUUUAAGCAUGCUCUGCAGAUCAUACUCAAGCUUUUUUUUUCAUAGAAGUUGCAAUCUUUACGUUAUAUACUAGUUUGACUAGGCUAUAUAAGGAAGCUAUAUGAAAUUAGAAAAAUAAGCUAUACUAGGAAAGAAUAAAUAUAUGUACAGAAAAUUAGGCUAUAAUCUCUGACUUUAAACAAAUUUAAUAUCAAUUUUCUUCUGGAAGUUGUCUCGCAUGGGGCGCAUCAGUAUUGUAACGUCUGAUGGGUCUUACAUUAUCCACAAAAAUAACUCGUCCAUCUAGUACCUGCAAGUACAUACUCUGAGAUGCUUAAACUCAACAAUAUAAGCAUGGAAAAUUAGAGAAAAAUGAUGCAAUUUUACCUUCCCAUUCAUGUCUGCCGAGGCUUUUUGGGCUUCCUCUUCUGUACUGAAAGUCACAUAUCCGUAACCUUUUGAUCUAUUCUUACCUUUAUCCAUUAUUAUUGUAGCUGCAAACAGAAAAGAAUCGGAUAUUACAAAAUAGUGAAGAGGGAAGAGGGGUUGAGACUUAAAACAGAAAUAGACCAAACCCUCAGUGACGUGGCCAAAUUGUGAAAAAGCAUCAGCUAACAUUUCUUUAGUGGUUGAGAAAGAUACGCCUGCAAAGGAUGCCAGUUAAUUUUAUCAUAAUUUUAGAUGGUAAGAUUGCAAAUUCUGCAGCCAAAGGUAGUACGGAACUGAAUGAAGGAAAUCAAAUAUGAAUAUGUUUUCAAUCUCAGAAUAUUAAGAGUAGCAUAAGUAACUUGUGAAACAGUUACAAGUUCAACGGAAUUAACUGAUGGCAUGGUUGAAUUUUGUAAAUAUUUGAUAUUUUGAACCGAACACGGCAAACAGAUGGAUCCAGAUAAUCAAGAAAAACAUCAAUUCCAUGCAACCAAAUUAGUGUGGGCAAUGCAAUUGAGCAACACUAUAAAAUUAUUCAAAGAAAUCUCUAGGUCAGUAUCCAAAUAUAUUUCUGAAAAUGUUUUUUUCUCAUUAGCGCCGCCAUUUUUGUAAUAGAGGGUAAAGAAAUAAGUAACAAAGUAAGAGGUGAGCAGAAGCGGCCCAAUUUAGCUAUAUGCCAUGCAUGCGAUCAAAAUUGAACGGUUAAAUGGCAGCCACUAUGUUACAUCUUGUGUAAGUAACAAACCGCCUACAUGGAUCGUUGGAUUUGGGAAUAUGAAAUCCAAUGGAUAAUAUUGAAUUUAACGAAAAAUAGAUUACAGGUUGCAUUAGUCCAAGUUUAUUUCAAACAAACCAGCUGACGAAAUAGCCGCUAAUCAAAUUUAAAAGGGAAAAAAAAAUCAAAUUAUAGGUUAUAGAUCUUAUUUCCAUCUUAAAUCUAUGUCUUUCGUGGUGACUCAAUUUGUAAACUAAUUUAUAAUUUGGAUCUAUAUUAGAGCUAAUGCUUCCCUAAAUAACUAAGAAAAUUUUCUUUUCAUUGAUUAAAUAUUUAUUUCCAAUAUCUUGUAUAUGUAGGAUUUGAAAAGAGGGAAAAUAGUAGGGAUGAUAAUGAGAGAAGAUAGAGAUGUCGAUUCUCAAAUCUAAUAUUAGUGCUAUACUUAUAUUCCUAUACUAAAUAAAUUAUCCAAGGUUCGUGCUUAACGAUACGUUGCAAAAUUUUAAUUUCUAUUUAAAGCUCUGUCUAAUAUGGCUUUUCAUAAAGCUUAGAGAAAAGUAGAGCUUUUACCAAAAAAAAAUUAAUUAGAAUUGUCAAUGAUAAAUUUUAAAAAGUACUUUAAUAAAUAAGCUUUUAAAGUUAUAUAUAUUAUGAAAGAAAUGAAAUAAGAUUAUAUAAUAAAUUAAGAGUAUCUUAGAUAAUUGAACUUUAAAAAAAAAACUCGCUAAGAGGUUUAAAAUUUGAGUUUUAAUAGUGGAUACAAAAUAGUUUAUUUAAUUCUCAAAAGCUCUACUCAAAAUAGUUUAUUUAAUUCUCAAAAAAUAUUUUUUUCAUUGAGUAAAUAAUACUAAACAUGCACUAAAGUGUUAGGACCAGAAGUUGUACAAAAAAUGAUGGCUACAACUUAAAUUAUGAAUGGAGUAAUCGGAGAAUAUUGAAACCCGUUUAAUUUGGAUCGUGCAUUGAGGGACGAAAGGAUAAAAAAUUUAAUUUUGAAAUUGCUGUUGGGUACGGUACAAUGACUUACCGUUGACAGCUUUUGCAACCGGAUUACAAUCGGUUAGUUCAAUAAUUUUAUAUCCCCAUUUAACCGCCACGUGCUGCUGUUACAUGGGUCAAUUAGUCAUGUCAUUACUGUUACUUACAGAUGCCGUAACAUAACCGGACCCUGGUUAAAUUCUGUUGUUUCCAAUAAUUUUAUGCUGUAUCUUCUUUAAUAAUAAAGAAAACUUGCAUUAAAAUUAAAAUUAGGGUAAUACCUGAUUUUAUAAAUAGAUUGCAAUGUAAUUUUGAAAAAUAAAACAAUAAUUUACAAAAUGUUUAUAACAUAAUUUUAAUUUUUUUUCAAAAAGGAAAAAGAACAAAAGUAAGAAAUAGAGAAUUAGGGCUACAAACUUUGUAUCUUAAACGGCCGUUAGAUUAUUUGUAAAUGAAAGCAACGGUCAGAUAUUGGUGGAUUAUGGAAACAUGUAAUCAUAAGGACUGUGAGUUUUUUUUGUUACAUUAAUAUAUUACAAUCAAAUUCUAUUAGUAUUUACAACUAGAAUUUCAUUUGACUAUCUUUGAUAAUUCUAAACUAGUACAACCCAAAUUCUUAUUCUCACAUAAUAUCAAAGAGAGAUAUAUAUUCUUCUCCUCUAUUAAUAAAGAGACAUUUUUAUUUCCUUUUAAUAGUUAGGACUCAGAACUCAUACACGCUAGUUUGAGAGUGUUGGGUGUGACAAUGAGCCAGGAGACCAUUGACAAGUACAAAAGAGUGGUAGAAAUUAAUUCAAUCCGCUACACACGCUAUUGCAACCAAAUUGAGGGCCCAUUUUUGUUUAUUUGGUUGAAAAAUAGUUUGCAUAAUUAAUUCAAACCGCUACACACGCUAUUGCAACCAAAUUGAGGGCCCAUUUUUGUUUAUUUCGUUGAAAAGCAGUUUGCACAAUUAAUUCAAACCGCUACACACGCUAUUGCAUCUUUUGAAAAAGAAAAACAGAAUAGUUUUCUAAAAUUAAUUCCGAGAAGAAGAUUAACUAAUAAUGAUGUUAGAAAUUUUAAUAUUUGAGUCUUAAUAUUAUGUAUCACUCAUUUAUUAAAUAAUAGAUUUCAUAAUUUAUAAAAUUACUUAACCACUUGAUAAAUGUUAUAUUUGUUGGGACUAAAUUGGGACUUAAAUGUUGGAAUAUCUAGUAUUGCAUUAAAAAAUAAAUAAAAACAUAACAAUUUAUCUUCACUUGACUAAUUGUUUUUACAUCACAACUAACCUUAAUUAUUUUGAAAGUUACAGUAUUAUUAAAUUGUCCUAACUGGUUAUCAAAAGUUGAAGCAUGUUAAAAUAAAAAAAAUUACCAAGAAACAUGUGCUUAAACAGAGGUUAAGGCUAUGAACAAUUAAGAAGAAACUCUUAAUUUGGUCCCAGUUAGUAUAAUAAUCAUCUAUUGAGCGGUAAAAUAUUAAUUUUAAUAGUGAUGAAAUCCAAUAUAUAAUAGAUUAAUAACACACAUAAAUUAAAACUUAACUGUCAGAAAUCAUAACAUUACUCUACUCUUCAGUAGAGUUCUCUUAACAGAUUAUGUGAGAUUGCCUACAUUAAAAAUAGGUUAAGACUGCUUGUUGAAAGCAAUAUUCGCUUUUUCAUUAUAUCCAUAACUUUGUUGGGUCCCUCUAUGGUGCCGUAAUUUUUUUUACGGUAUUAAUAGUGUAACAAAUUUGUACCAUUAGAUAUAAUCAACGGUACACAUUAUUUUUAAUAAUGAAAAUAUUUAAUUAUUUCACAAAUGUUAUAACCGGUUAACAAACCGGUUGCAAAACCUAUUUUAAAUUUAAAAGGAAAGAAAAUAGAGAUAUAAUAAAACUCAAUCUCCUUCUUUAUCUCAUAAAAUUCGUAAUCUGUUUAUCUCCUUUGUUGUUGUAUUGAAAUUGGAUUCCUCAAUGCUGUCUCAGUUCACAAAUGAUUAAUCGUGUCAAAUCGUAAGCUUGUUCUUAUCGUUCAACUUUUUCUCCAUUUAUUGCCACAUUUAUUUGAUAGGUAGGCUUUUAAAUUUAUUGCUCGAUGGUGACAUUAGACAAGGAAUCACAGAUUUGAUGUUCUUUGUUGUACUAAAUUCAUAUCAAAUCUUGCUUUGAUGCUAUAAUAUAUUUAGUUACUACCUUACAUUUUCUUUUUUCACAUUUGAAAACAAAUUCUUUUUAUUCAUAGGAUUACAUAAAGUGCGCAGCCCUGAAGUUUGAACUUCAAAGGAUAAAGUUGCAUUGCAGCAUGUUAAGCAGCAAAGCUUCUUCACUGCAUUAGAUAGAAGACGGUGAAUCAAGUGCAGCCAAGACUUGGCUGAGUCAGCAAUUAACCACCAAUCGUUUAAGAAAGAGGGGCAAAGCAAGUUGAGGCCCACUUAUUAAUCUUAGCCUCUGAUUCCAUUCUCCUUUUCUCCGUCCUGAUUUGAUUAUCUCCAGCAGUGACGCUAAAGGUUAAACUGGCAUGAUCUUGCCCACAUAUAAAUGUAUUUUUUUUUUUUAGGAUCUGAAGGGGCAAAUUUUUUUUUCAAGUUUGUUAUAUGAUCUUUUGUGAAGACCUGAAGAUACGAGAGUCAGAUUAAUAAUUUUGUCUCUCUUAGGCUUUAUGCAGUGGGAAUGAACUUUCUCUCUUUUAAUUCUCUGCCAUUUUCUCAAUGAAGGCAGCAAGAGAAUAUUCAGUCUUUCAAAGUCUCAACAUUCAUAAUUUGGCCAGUCUAGUUGUUUACCUUGCAUCUGCUGGAGUAUUAUAUCGCCAAGAGAUUUUUCCGUUGCACUUUACGAAUUUAUAUUAUUUUGAGGAGGGAAUUCAGCUAACUAUUAAUAUCAUACAAUUGAAAUUUAAAUGUCGGUCUUUAAAUUCUAAAGAUUAAAGACAAGCCUAAUAUGAAAAUACAGAUGUUAAAAUCUUCAUUUUUGUUUAUUGAUACUUUAUUUGUUAGUAUCAUAAUUUUAGAGAUAUAUUUGAUGUUACAUGAUUGACUAAAUAUUAACAUUAAAAUGCAGAUGGAAAGAAAAAAUGAUGGAGGGCUCCAUAAAAGCAUAAAAAGAAACGGAGAUGGUGAAGCAAACUUUCGAAAUUGCAACCAUGAGAAGGAAUUGACAAAGCUUAAUGAAAAAAUGGAUGGGAUGACAUUUAAUCUUGUCGCUGUCAGGCAUGAACUUGGUGAGCUGAAGAGGAACAAUUUAGAUACUUAUGCAUUGGUACAAAAAAUGUAUAGUGUAGUUGAAGCACUUGAACGUAAUAUAACUCAUAUGCAAUCACACGCAUGGAAGGAAAAGAUGAACUCUUCUAGUAAAGAUGUUCAAAAUAGUAAAAAUGAAUCAAGUGGUCAAAAUUUCGUGGAAAAGGGAGAUGAGUUUGGGGUGAAGAUCGCAGAGAUUAAGGACAAGAUUGAAGACGCAUGUGAUGAAAAUUUAUCAUUGAAAAACUUAUUUGUGUAUAGGAAACAAAAAGAGAACCAAAUCUUCCACAAUGUUGUUAAAAAGGUAUGAUAAUAAACUAUUAUUCUACAUUUUUUUUUCAAAAAUAUUUGUAUAGCACAUUCAUUAAACAAAAAAAUAAUAAUAAUAAAAUUCAUGUUCUUAUGCAUGUAGGAUAAAGCCAUGGAUGCAGUUGAUUUUGUGGAUUUGGUAUCAUCGGUGGAAGUAGAUGCAAUUGAGGAUAAAAAGGUGCGUCCUCGAAAGCCCAGUCGUUAUAAAAAAUCUCCUUAUGAAAAUUUUACAAAAAAAAAAGGCUAUCGCAAGAAGGAGUUCGAUUUAUCCAAACAUGGAGCUUCUUUUUCGGAGGAAGAAUGGUAUAUUUUACAGUAUAUUUUUCAUGAACAACUAGAUAAAAGGUAUGGAACUAUUUAAAUAUAAUCAUAUUUUAUAUGUUUGUAUUUUGAUGUUAUUAUUUGUUUUAAUUAACUAUUAAUGUGAGUGUAUAACUUAUGCAGAGAGAAAAUUGUAAUGACAAAACGACAUAUUGUUACCCGCUUCUUAAUGUCUUCUUUAGCUCCUAAUGUUUGGAUAUUUGAUGAGGUAUAUUGUGUUAGUGUGUGUGUCUAAUAUUCAGAGCGUAAUAAGAUUAUAUGUAUUUAAUUUAUAAUUUAUUUUUCAUUUGGUAGUGCAUGUUUUAAUAAUAAUGUUGUGAUGAUUUUAUUCAUAGAUCAUAAGUUGCUAUGCUGAGUAUUUAACUAGAAAGGAGAGUUUGAAGCAAGAUAAUGAGACUCGAAAUUGGUUUUUACCAACUCUUUUUGGGGUAUGUUAUAAAUUUUUGUUGUUACAAAUAUAUAAUAUGCUUUUACAAAAAAAUUAGAAUUUUUUUAAAAUUAUAUCUUACCAUCUUCAUAUAAUUAUUAAUUUAUGAAUGUUGUAGCAAAUAGUGGCGAAUGUGUCAGGUGUUUCAACUAUUGAUAGAUCAGAGAUUGAAAUUUCGGUUCGUAAACAUAACAUUUGUGAAUUUUACAUGGGUGCACUCAAAAGAUGUGAAAAGGUCAGGAAUAUUAUCAUAUGUUCAAAAAACAAAAAAAUUUAUUUACUCAAAUAUCAUAUGUUUUAUUAUUAUCAUUUGAAGGGAGUAAUGAUUAAUACAAAAUUAGUGUAUUGUUGCACAGAUAUAUGUUCCUCUUUAUGACGGGCUUGCAAAACAUUGGUAUCUUGUAAUAAUGAAUAUAAAAGAUAAGACUGCUGAGAUUUGGGAUUCUUUGCCUAAUUCUGAAAUAGAACCAAAUCAUCGUCAAGAAAUCGUUAAGCAAAAUGUAAGUUCAAAUUUUUUAUUUGUUUAUAUGAAAUUACUAGAUGCAAUAUAUAUUAACUAUCAUUAUUAUUAUGCAGUACAUGCAUUGGNNNNNNNNNNNNNNNNNNNNNNNNNNNNNNNNNNNNNNNNNNNNNNNNNNNNNNNNNNNNNNNNNNNNNNNNNNNNNNNNNNNNNNNNNNNNNNNNNNNNCCUAGUCUUGCUUCGUGAUAUAGCCUUUAACUUUCCUUCUGAUUGGGUAUUUCGUUGACUUUGACAUUUUAUAUCCAAAUAAUGUGCCAAUUCAACCAAAUGGAAAUGAUUGUGGCUUGUAUGUGAUGAAGUUUAUGGAGACUCCAUGUGAGAUGUUAUUCCCAACUUAUAAGGUAACUUAAUCAUACAAUUUAUAUUUCUUAGUUUGCACAAUACUUUAAUCAAUAUUAAAUUGUUAUUAAUUCUAUUAUAUGCAGUAUGAAUCGGAUGAAGAAAGAUUUCGUCUUGCGCUACUCCUUGUAAAUGGUGAUGCAAAUGAAGUAAGAGAUAGUGUUAUACAAAAAGCACUAUCAUUCCGUGGUCCUAAGACGAAUGUUAUUGCAACUAGUAAAGUUAGAACUAAAGUUGCUUCUCAAAAAAAACAUCGUUCAAUUAAUAAAGUUAGAACUGUAAUUGGUACUGGAGAAUAUUUGAAGAAACCAGGAAGAAAAUCCAAUUGAUCUGCCUAGUAGAGGUUUAAUAAAUUUGGUAUUGGACGUAAUUUGUAUUUUGUCACUUUUAAUUUUUUUGUCCCCUCAAUUGAAUUUUAUAUUCAAUGUAAAGUUUUUAUUUGGAUUACUUAAUUUUCUUUUUUAGUUUUUAAGUUUUUGGAUUACUCUUUAUGAAAAUUUUGUGUCUUGUUACUUUCAAUUUUUUUUGUCCCCUUUAAUUGACCUUUGUAUUCGAUGUAAAGUUUUUAUUUGGAUUACUCAUUAAGUUUUGUUAGCUUUUGAGUUUAUGGUCUCUUCCAAUUAAAAACUUUCAAAAAAUAAUAGCCUGCUUUUUUUUUUUUUGUGUGUGUUUUAAGUUCAGCCUACAAGUGAAUGACUGUAAGUCGUUAACUAAAAAUCUAAAAAUGUCAAAUGUCAAAUAUUCUUCCGCUUCUCAUCACCUUCUUUUCCAACCUAUAAUAUGCCAAACAAAAAUGCAUCAAUAAAAAUAAAUUUAGAUAACAGCUAAAAUAUUCAACCUUUGUAAGAAUUAUCCUAAUAUAAAUAUACCUCAUUAAGUACUGGACAUUUGCGUCUAUUGUGUCCAGGUAAUUUGCAAUACCCACAUUUUUUCAAAUUGACGCCUUUAUUAAAUCUUGCACUAGGAGCACCUUUCGUCUUCACACUUAAUGGAUCUUUUAUAAUAGCAACAUUUCUCUUCUCACUGGACCAUCUACCUCUUUUCUCUUCAAAAUUCCCACUCAACUCUAACAUUUCAGACUUAAGUUGUGUGAUAAGACCCUUUAAUUUCAAGUAUCCAGCAUCUGUCAUCGAGGCAUAGAAAAAUGUGUCUAGUUACAGAAGAAAUUUACAGAAUCAAAUUUUGACUUCGCUUCUUAAAGAUAUUCACGAUUUAGUGCACAAAGGUCACAACCGUCUAGAAACCACACAAGAUCCGAUGUUUCUGAAUUAACUGAUAUCAAUUAACAAGGAAUAAAAUUAAAAACUAUAUAUCUAUAGAAAGAUUUAUUUUUCAGGAGUUCAAAUAAUUUUACGGUUUUCUAUUUGAAGUUUUCUACAUGAAGAUAUGGCUUAAAGAAUGCUGACUGCUCAAAAUCACUGAAGCAACCAAGUCUAUGAUUAUCAGAAAACUUGCAUGAUUAAACUGUACUGAUCUAGAAUAUAUGAGAUUGCAUACUAUAUAUUUUUUGAUAGAUAAAUAUGUCUAGUUACAGAAGAAAUUUACAGAAUCAAUUUUCGACUUCGCUUCUUAAAGAUAUUCACGAUUUAGUGCACAAAGGUCACAACCGUCUAGAAACCACACAAGAUCCGAUGUUUCUGAAUUAACUGAUAUCAAUUAACAAGGAAUAAAAUUACAAACUAUAUAUCUAUAGAAAGAUUUAUUUUUCAGGAGUUCAAAUAAUUUUACGGUUUUCUAUUUGAAGUUGUCUACAUGAUGGCUGAUGUGUUUCAGCAGAUAUUACAAGAGGAAAUAUAUCUUCUCCCAGUGAUGGUUUUGAGAGAUCGUCCAACUCAUAGAAGCCUAAGUCGAUGCCUGUUCCCGAAGGCUGACGAAACUUCUGACCCAAUCCUUUCUUAAAGGGAAUUUUUGCCGGCAUAUAAGCUUCAGGAAACAGUGGAACAAACUUACAGUUGGGCUCUUCCUUGGCAAAGUAGAAAACAGUGAUGCUGCAGAUAAGAAAAGAAAAUAAAGAGAUAUGGCUUAAAGAAUGCUGACUGCUCAGAAUCACCAAAGCAACCAAGCCUCUGAUUAUCAGCCAAAUUCCAUGAUUUAACUGUAUUGAUCUAGAAUAUAUGACAUUACAUAAUAUAUAUGUUUGGAUAGAUGAAUGUAUCUAGUUGUGGAAGAAAUUUACAGAAUCAAGAUAGACUAAUAAUAACUUAAUAUUAACAAAAUUUUUAUUGUACAUGUUAUUUUAUCAAUUAUAUUUAUUGUAACACUUUAUUUGUAUCAUAUGAUUUUUAUUUGUUAUUUUUAUCCUAUUACUAUAUUUAUAUUUAUUUAGAUUGAUUUAGUCAAAAGGUAUAAUAGUCAUUUAGGAAAUUAAGAGGGUCUAUGUGACUAUUUAUGAAACUAAAGGAACAUGUAUAAUUAUUUUAGCAAAUCUUAGGGGUGUGGGUGGUUUUUUCCGAAAUUAAUAUUGAUUUAAAAUUAAAAAAUUAAUAUUUACCUGUAACCUGUAAGUUACCUGCUCUAUUUUAAUUAAUUAUCUAAUUAUCUAUUAUAUUAAAUGAAUGAUUCAGAUUAAAACUCUUAUAUCUAAGGGUCCACAUUAGUUCCACUAUCAAUACUGUAAAAAUAAAUACAGCAUCAUAAAGAAAUCCAACUUUGAAUUGAUAAAGUUGUAUUCAACAGCUCUUGAAAAGACUAAGCUGGUCUUCUUUGCAUUUGAUCACUGGUAUUUCAGUUAAGUUUGUCGUUUACUUAAAUUUUUCUUGCUUUCAAUUUCCACUGUUGUUUUUUUUUUAAUAAAAUAAUUUGUUUAACUAGUCAUAGAAAUAAGAGAGAAAAUGGGCCAUUUCUUGACUCAAAGUCAAUUAUAAUUAUCAAAACUUGAGCGGACAUUGCAUGCCUAAAUUCCACGCACCCUAAAACGGUUUGAUUUGCUUUCACGCGUUCAUGAUUUUGCAUGAAAGAGAGUGCCUCUCGUCUCUUUCCGGACAGUGACUACAGUCAUGGAAAAAUUAUGUUAACGUGACGAAUACAAAACGUUAUUACAUACAAGAAUAAGUUUUUGGACCCGAGACUUGAGGGAGGUUCUAUCUAAUUCUAAAGAUUGUAACCAAAGCAUUAUCCCCAAUUUUUUUAAGUUAAAUAAAAUAAAAUUUAUGCUUAAGUAUAAAUAAUUUUUUAAAGUUAAAUAUAAAAUAAAAUUCAUGAACUUCCAAGAAAGAAAGAAGACCCUUCACCUUCUUCGUGACAACAAAUGAUGUUGAUAUGACAAAUACAAGCGCUAGUACAGGGAACAGCAUAAGACCGAGACUUGAUAAAUAUUAAAUAUAUAAAAUAAGUGGAGCAAACGAACAGAAUAAUAGAUUUUUAUAAUAUUCUUCAUAAAAAUCCAAGUUUUGAGCUGGCCCAUAAGCUUAUCUAGUGAAGUCUGGGUAUCCGCGUUGCCCAAGGUUCCGUUUGAAUUCAGGCUGUGCUGAUAUUUAUGACAUCCGACGGAGAGGAAAUAUUUUCAGUUGACUAAAUUAAAUAAAAGUAUAUUAUAAUCAUAUUAUAUAUUAGCAACAAAAAUAAAAAGAAAUGAAGAAAAACGCAUGCAAGACUUAGAGAAGUCAAUUAAAAGAUGGGAGUAUCAUCAGUUCAAUUGGUUAUAAAUAGCGUAGAGCCAUCCUCUCGUUGUUGCAGAAGAGAGACAGAAAGAGUGUGUGUAGGUGAUUAUAAUUAAGAAGAUAUAAUGUGUGGUUCAAAAAGAGUGUGGGUGAGUGAGUUAAUACUCAUAUUAUUAGUAGUAAAAGGGUGGUGGAGUGAGGGAUGUUUGGAGCAAGAGAGGUCUGCUCUCCUCCAACUCAGACAUUUCUUCAAUGAUGAUCAACGUCUUCAAAACUGGGUAGACGAUGAGAAUAAUUUAGAUUGUUGUCAGUGGGAAGGGAUUGAGUGCAACAACACCACUGGCAGUGUGAUUAAAUUAGAUCUAGCACAAACUCGAAAAUGGGAAUCAGCGAAGUGGUAUAUGAAUGCCUCUCUGUUUACUCCCUUUCAACAAUUAGAGUCUCUUGAUCUAAUUGGGAACAAUAUAGCUGAUUGUGUUAAAAACGAAGGUCAUUAAUUUACUCUAUUUUAAUUCUUCCUCCUCGUAAUUUCUUACAUCUAUCUGAUCCCUUUUGGCUUUUGUUUAAUUUGUACGUGAUACAAUAAAAUUAUUUUUUUUCAGGUUUGGAGAGGUUAUCAAGGUUGAACAACUUGAAGUUUCUUUUUUUAGAUGAUAACUACUUCAACAACAGCAUCUUUUCAUCUCUAGGUGGUCUUUCAUCACUCAGACACUUAUCAUUGGCUGUUAAUAGAUUGAAUGGAAGUGAUGAUAUUAAAGGUAAGUAAGCUUCAUCCCUUCUCCCGUGUCCCAUCUUUGUGGAUCUUAUUUCAUCGACCAGCUGGAAGUAUUGAUACGAGAUCUAGCUAGACUCUUGCUAGUUUAAGCUUCAAGGCUUUGAAUAUUAUAAAAAUAGGUUUAAGGAAUUAUCAAUAUAUGCAAUUUUCUAUGCUUCUCAUAAUCAGACACAAUUCAAUCUAAUUAUUUCGUAUGUCCUCUCUUCAAAAGUAAAGAAUUGUACACUAAACGGAAAUCGACAUUGUAGCUUUUUAUUUUUUCUAAUGCUCUUUCUUUGUUAACGAGUUUAUAUCCUGAGAGUGCAUUGGAUUCAAAAAAAAAAAAGUUUUGAUGUUCAAGGUAAGCCAUAAUAACAUGCAUCUUAUUUAUCUGUCUAUAUCUAAAUUUGUGCACUGAAUUUAGUAUUUUAGUUAGUGUGAAGGGAUCAGAUAUUGGCUUCCAUAAACCAACUUGUAUUUACUUAAUUAAUUAAUUAACACCAUUUAGUAUUUAACAAAUUAAAAUUUCGUGUUUAAUUUGUCUUAUUUUUUAUUUUUUGAAGCAAGAAUAAGGUAUAGCAGUAGGUAAAGUUGAAAUACAUAUUUAUUCCUUACAAAUUUAAAUUCGUUUUCAGCCAAAUAUACCUACUUAAAACCACUCAAUCAUGCCAUUGGCAACAGUUUUUUAGGUUUUUCUAGUUAACCGUGUACUUUUUUGCUUAUUAAUAAAAUUCUUUUGUGCUGAGAUUUAAAAUAAAGAAGGAGAAAAUAAGUUAUUUAAUUAACCUUGUUUUAAGUGUUGGCAUAAAUGCAGGACUGAAUUCCUUGAGUAACUUGGAGGAGCUGGACAUGACAGGCAAUGCAAUCGAAAAUCUUGUGGUUCCUAAAGGUAUACAAAAUGUUCAAAUAUUAAUAAUUUGGAGGACAGUUUAAUUGAUUUGAUUAGGGAAUGCCCAAAUGACACUUACCCAAAAUAAUUUAAUCCAAAAUUGUAUCCCAAACAGAUUUCAUAGGUUUGAGGAAGUUGAAUACCCUUAAUUUAGGGGGAAGCGAAAUUCGAAUGAUAGAUGGAAGCAAGGUGUUGCAAUCAAUAGGAUCACUACCGUCCCUCAAAACACUUUGCCUUUCAUAUACUAAUUUUACGGGAACAGUAGUUAAUCAAGGUAAGUAAAUCUUUUAUGUCGAAAAUAAUUGAAUUAAUAUAUAUAGCUAAAAUUUAUUGUUUCUACUUCUUUCUACAUAGAAUUGCACAAUUUCACCAACUUGGAAGAAUUGAUAUUGGGCAAAUCUGAUCUCCAUGUAAGCCAGCUUCUGCCAAGCAUCGCAUCAUUCACUUCGUUAAAGUAUUUGUCAAUGGGAGGUUGUAUACUCACAGGUGCCGUACAUGGUCAAGGUAAAUUAUGGGUAUCUGAAGCUUUUAAAUUUUUUCUUUUAAAUUUUUUAUAUUUUCACUGUCCAAUGGUUCUACCUUCUCUAAAUUGUAGGAUUCUUGAUUAAGGUUAAUGAAAUUUUUGUUCUGUUAUGUUAAGAAUAUUUCGAUCGCUUAGAAGAGUAAAGAAAAAUAAGUAAAUUAACCCAAAAAAAAAAGAAAAGAACAGGACCGGAUUAUCCUUAUUCCCUUGCAUUAUGUGAUCAAUAUCAAAAUUAUAACCAUUUCUUGUUUAUUGCUUGUAGAUUUUCGUAAAUUCAAGAAUUUGGAAAAUCUGGACAUGAAUCUGGUGUAUGUUGACGUCAACACCAGUUUUCUUCAAAUUGUCGGUGAAUCGAUGCCUUCUCUCAAGUUUUUAUCACUGACAGAUUCAAUUCUUAAUAAAAACACCAUUCUUGAUCAAGGUUAAUUAAUGAUUCUCCUUCUCCCUCUCUCGCAUCAUAACUAAAUUUAAUUGAGAAUAUCUAUAAUGCGAGCUAUUUAUAAACUUAAUGAAAGAUGAUAAGGAGCCAUAAUAAUGACAAAAAUAACUGUAAAAUAGUGCACUGUUGUAGUGUUGAUUGAAAAAUAAUGCUAAUUUUUUACUUAACAUUAUAACGCUGUAUAAUUUUACAGUUAUUUUGUUGCCAUUACGUCAGAUUAUACUGUUCAACUAUCAGUGAUCAAACUUAAUUUUUAAUGUGUACUUGAAAGAUAUGUAAUUAUUUAUCUAUGUGUACUGAAGGAUGAAUUAUAUAUUUUUCAGGACUUUGUCAGUUAGUGCAUCUGCAAGAGUUACACAUCGGCGGUAAUGAUUUGAGAGGUAGCUUGCCAUGGUGCUUGGCAAACAUGACAUCCCUUCAAGUGUUAGAUGCCUCUUCUAAUCAACUUACUGGAAACAUCUCCCCAGGCCUUUGUGAGUUGGUGUUUCUAAGAGAGUUAUCCAUUCAUAACAAUGAUUUAAGAGGUAGCUUGCCUUUGUGCAUGGCAAAUUUGACUUCCCUUCGAGUAUUAGAUGUCUCUUACAAUCAACUUACUGAAAACAUCUCAUCUUCCCUCAUGCAUCUAAUAUCUAUGGAAGAGCUCAUAAUUUCAAAUAAUCACUUCUUCCAAAUCCCUAUUUCACUUGAACCACUUUUCAAUCUCUCAAAACUCAAGACUUUCGAUGGUGAAAUAUGCGCAAAAACUGAGUCACAUUAUAAUUCUUUGACCCCAAAAUUCCAACUGACUUCUAUCUCACUAUCUGGUUACAUAGAUGGUGGCACAUUUCCCAAAUUCUUGUACCAUCAGCAUGACUUGAAGAAUGCUGAUCUCUCACACCUUAACUUGAGUGGAAAAUUUCCAAAUUGGUUGCUAGAAAACAAUACGAACUUAGAGACGCUUCUUCUUGCCAACAACUCUCUUUUUGGAUCAUUUCGGAUGCCAAUUCAUUCCCACCAGAAAUUGGCAAUAUUGAAUGUCUCCAACAAUUUCUUUCAAGGCCAUAUUCCGGUGGAAAUCGGAACAUAUCUGCCAGGUUUAACGGAUUUAAACUUAUCUAGAAAUGCUUUCAACAGUAGCAUUCCCUCUUCAUUUGCUGAUAUGAAAAUGUUGAAAAGGUUGGACAUAUCCUACAAUCAGUUGACUGGUGAAAUCCCUGAGCGCAUGGCCACGGGUUGCUUCUCAUUGGAAAUUCUUGCAUUGUCAAACAACAGUUUGCAAGGUCAUAUAUUCUCUAAAAAAUUUAACUUGACAAAUUUGAUGAGGUUGCAGUUGGAUGGUAAUAAAUUCAUUGGAGAGAUCCCAGAAAGCUUAUCUAAGUGCUAUUUGUUGGCAGGAUUGUAUCUGAGUGAUAAUCAUCUCUCUGGUGAGAUUCCAAGAUGGUUGGGUAAUUUGUCAAUUUUAGAAGAUAUUAUAAUGCCCAAUAACAAUCUGGAAGGACCAAUUCCAAUCGAGUUCUGUCAGCUUUAUUUUCUGACGAUUUUAGACCUUUCAAACAAUGCUAUUUUUGGAACCUUACCAUCUUGUUUUAGUCCAGCAUCUAUUGAACAAGUUCAUUUGUCAAAAAACAGGAUAGAAGGACGGUUGGAAAGUAUAAUCCAUGACAGCCCCAAUUUGGUGACAUUAGAUCUCAGUUAUAAUCGCUUACACGGAAGUAUUCCAAAUCGGAUUGAAAGACUACCUAAGUUAAACUACAUUCUUUUGGCUAAUAAUUAUAUUGAAGGCGAAAUACCAGUUCAAUUAUGCCAUUUGAAGGAAGUGCAGUUGAUUGAUCUUUCUCAUAAUAAUCUAUCUGGUCAUAUUCCUCCUUGCUUGGUUAACACUUCACUUAGUGAAGGUCAUCAUGAGGCAGUAGCUCCAACUUCUAGUUUGUUGGGUCAACUGCCUGCCUCACCUCCAUCUGAAUCUGAGGCUGCAAGUGGACCUCCGAUGGGAAAGGAAGAAACUGUACAGUUCACAACAAAGAAUAUGUCCUACUAUUAUCAAGGAAGAAUUUUGACGAGUAUGUCUGGGAUUGAUCUUUCUUGUAACAAACUGACAGGUGAGAUUCCUACUCAAAUUGGAUAUCUUACUAGGAUUCAUGCACUAAAUCUAUCUCAUAACAAUUUGACGGGCACAAUCCCGACAACAUUUUCAAACCUGAAGCAAAUCGAAAGCUUGGACCUCUCCUACAACCUACUGCAUGGGAAAAUCCCUUCUCAGCUCACUGUGCUAACUACAUUGGCGGUCUUCAGAGUAGCAUACAAUAACUUAUCAGGCAAAAUCCCAGAUAGAGUUGCACAAUUUUCAACAUUUGAGGAAGAUAGCUAUGAGGGGAAUCCUUUUCUUUGUGGAUGGCCACUGUCUAAAAGUUGCAAUGAUAGUGGAUUAUCAGCAGUGACACCAGAAGCUUACACUGAAAAUGAAGAAGGUGAUAGUUUAAUUGACAUGGACAGUUUCUUGAUCACUUUUACAGUAUCUUAUGGAAUUGUGAUAUUAGGAAUUAUCGGAGUUUUGUACGUAAACCCCUAUUGGCGGCGAAGAUGGUUUUACCUUGUUGAAGUGUGUAUGACCUCUUGCUACUAUUUUGUGGCAGACAAUCUUGUUCCUAGAAGAUUCUAUGGUGGAUGGAUGUAAUUUCAUUUACUUUACAACUUAUAUGUAAUUUUUAAAGAAUUUUCUUUUGCAUGCAUGGAAUAGCAACUCAAUAAAAGUAUUUGAUGCAAAUUGUCCAAGAACAACUUAGUAAUUUCAUUGCUACUAUUCGGUUGUAUAUAUACAGUUAAUGAAAUUUUUAAUCAUUCGCAGUAGGAAUUUCUUUAGAUGGCGGCCAAAACUAACAGAUUUGGGGCUCUACUUCUACACAUCAUAACAGGCAAAAGGUCUCUCUUUUACACGAUCUGAAUCAUUCAAUAGGUGUCUACUUCUACACAUCAUAACAGGCAAAAGGUCUCUACUUCUACGCCCCCUGGAGUUCUCCAUUAAACUUGACGGUUGAGAUUUCAGGUCCAGAUGAAAGUUAAAUGCAGGCGACGAGACUACACUUUAAGUAAACUGGGACAAACUUAAAAUAAAAAAAACUAUAGUCCAGGGUGAGAGUGAUGGGUAGCUCAACUUAUGGAGGAUAACUAGGACUUGGAAUAACUAUCAGAUUUGCAACUCUUGUAAUAUAUAGUGGGCAUUCAGGUAGCAAUUAUCGCCUUGGGAGUUACCGUAAUCGAUUCAUUUCCUCCUUCAUUUCUGAUGGUAACCCAGCUCUAUACAAGAACAAUAAGAGAAGGUUCCUUUAAGAAAUUUCACAACCCACAAUUUUUUUUUUUCCUUUUUGCCCUGUUCCUCACAAUAAACACACCUAACACACCAAGCCGUGCCCAAAAUAAUCCUAUUUUAUUCAUGUCAUGAAUCCAAAAACUAUCCCAGCUCACUUUGUUUAACCAGCAUAACUAAAUUGUGGGUAUAAAUGAACAGACUUUCGAAGCCUGUAACUUAUAAUAAGCUCAAACCCAAAAAUGACAUUUAAAUCCUGCAAGUGUUUUUCAUCAUCCCUAACAAAAAGAAACAAGAAUAAUUAUAUACCAAUAAUUUUUCCAUAAAAAAUACUGAUUUGAGUUGAAGCACUAUACAAACUGGGUUUUAUUACACUUGCAGAAAGCUACACGGUAGACAAAAUCUAGCAGCUACAUAUUGGUAUCACUUUCAGCUGGUCAUGAAUGGUGUGCAUUCAGCAGUGCACAAUAGACCAUGUCUAUGAAUUGAUUGUCCUAUUACAUAUAAAAGCUGGUCAGAUAUACAAGGAAAAAAAUAAUAAUUGAAAAUGCAUCACAAAAAAUAAGUGUUUCGCAUUAGUGUUUGCACUCUUAAGCAUGGCAAAGUGGUGCAGGGUUCAUGAUUUUGAAGACAAUGAUAAGUGAAAAAUAGUUCAAUCCAUUGAUGAACAUAAAUUUAUUUACAUGUCAAUUUAGAUACCAUCAAAAAGUAAACAGUAAUUCACAGUCACUUAAAAUAGUUGAUAAAAUGCGUGCCAUGAAUGCAUUUUUGUACAUAAGAAAUCCAAAGAGUAUUUCUGACAAUACAAAUAUGCUAGCUUUAAGUCUGCUGUCAAUAUGCAAUUAAGAAGAUUAUACCAGCUGCAUGAUAAAGUUCCCCUAAUCUUAAUAACAAUAAACAUGAACAUGUCAGAUGCAAUUCUAGCUUCGACCAUUUGCAUAACCAGAAAUCCUAACCUGAACAAGCACCAGAAGUGCCUCUCGGACUUUCUCCUUGCUGAUAAAUGGUCCACUGUUCCAAGUAAGAGCAGGAGUAAGAGAUGGUGGAGGGAUUGGUGGUGGAAACGGUUGAAGCACUGGGGCACCAUAUGGGCGUUGUAGACUCAAGGGAGUAUUAAGUGGCAGAGCUGUUGGUGUAGAUGAAGAGACAGGCUGCAUCAUCCCCGCAGAGGAGGAUGGAGGAGGAACAAAGAAUAAGGAAGGCUUUACAAGGUUAGGGGUAGGUGCUGACAGAGGUGGAGAUGGUAUUGCAAGGUUGGCACGAUAGGAGAAGCAACACUGGCGGGAUGAGAAGGUAAAGAAAUAGUUGUAUUGGACUGGUAAGGUUGUGCAGAGAUUGCUGCAUUAGAAGUAUUCCCCACAGUCAAAGCUGUCUGCAAUGAUAAGGACAGAUGUCAUAUACAAGGACAUCAUAGAAGUUGAACCUCACACAAAAAUGAAGUGAUAACAUGUGAAAAUAGUAUAUGACUUGCUGCAUUUUUGUGGUAAUGUUGCAUACUUAUGUAGAAACAUAUUAUUUCAAAGAAAACAUACACUGAAGAAGUUCACAAAAGCAGGAUCUUCAGGAACAUCAACAGCAUUUGAGGGAGUUGACUCUAGAGGACCAUCCAUAACUGCCAUAGUUGGAACAGCUUCCAGUUCCUCAAACUCACUGCAGUUUAACAUAAAAGGAACUUGAUGACCAAUUUAAGUAAUAAUUAGAUGAUAUACGAGGUUAGGGAAAAUGAUGAGUGGACCCUUAUGGAAGGUGAUUUCACCUUAGCUAAACAGGAAAAUAAAAAGAAAUCAAAGCUGAAUCCUCGAGUGCAAUGCAAAGAAUUUUUUCUCUCUUCUCUAACUCCUCUUAUUCAAAAUUGCUCAUCAUUGUGCUGUUCUUCGAGAUUUCGCUAGAGUAGAGAAAGCUAUUCUCCCGUUAAGUGCAGAGGAAAGAGAAGGGCAAAGGCCUGGUAUGAUGCUAUUCUAUAAGAAGUGAGAAAGUGAAGGGCUAAAAUAUUUUGCAAUUUGGAGGUGGUGUUUUUCAGUGUGUGUGCUUCUGAAUUUAUUACCUCUUUAGGAUCCAUAGAAAUUGCCUCUUGUUCAGCAUGCACUGUGCCUACGAGUAAGGCGAGCUUGCAUGGUAUCUAUUGUCUAUUUAUUUGGAUAUUCAAACAGGACUACCAGCAACCAAACACAAAUCCCCAAACAAAACACUCUUUCAAGUGCAAGGAAAGAGUAACUUGGGCAUAUUUAUGGUUCAAGCACUACCAUAACUAAGAAUGUGAUGCUGUCCACAAACACUAUAUCAGUGCCUUUUGAACUACAUCACAUGCUCGAAGACUUUUUUUUUAGUCAUACAUAAAUUAGCUAUAAAAUUAAGACUAUUAUACAACUAAAAAGAAAGAAAAAUUGUUUGCUACUACAUAUCAAAACUGGUAAUAGCAAUGUAAGAUGGCAGACUUCUUACUUAAACAGAUGAGAGGCUGCAAAUAAAAAAUUUGUGCAAAUAAAAUAUAUGAUAAAGAGCAUAAUACUUUCUUGGGGGCUAAAAAUAAUAUACAACUUGUGAAAUAUAAAUUGAGCUACCAUUACCUUUUAGAUGUAGCAACUUUCGACUUUUGAGGCACCUUGGAAUAUGCAUUCAGAAUCCUGCAUUUGGAAGCCAAAUAAAUAAUGUCAACAACAAUUUUACAAUAGAAAAAUUAAAAAUUGAUAAAUGGCAGUUGUAAUUUAUGUAUGUGUAAAGAUAGCAUCACAUCCAGGGUCCUCCCAUAAACAUGCUUGUAACAAGAAUUAGUUUGCCUCAACUGCUAGCAACUAUACAAUAGUAAAAAUCACUCUUAUGAACUCAACAAUACUAGGCACCAAUAAGAGUAUGAUACCGCCAUUCUAAAUGGAAGAGAAUACAACUGUUUUACAACUAUGUCACAUCAGGAGAUAUGCUAGGAGGAUUAAUCCAGAUACCAUCCAACCCAAUUUGGAAAACUCGAGUCAGAAACCAGGAGCUGUAACCAAACCUUACAAUCUUGAAGGAAGAAGGAGACUUGGGGCAUUUUUCCAGAUAGGUGACUUACAAGAUCUCCUGCCAAGAAAAUAUCUAUUGCUUUGAACCUCCAUUGAAAUUUCUUUUCCCUUUUUCUUGUUUUGACUUGGAACUUUCCAGCAUCAUCUAUUUGAUCUUUUUUAAAGCUAAAAUAGCAAUCUAUGGGUUGUCAACAUCUUAUCCCCCCCCCCCCCCCCCUCGGGG
rnacentral:lncRNA from 1 species